CCUACGGGUGGCUGCAGUGGGGAAUCUUGGACAAUGGGCGCAAGCCUGAUCCAGCCAUGCCGCGUGAGUGAUGAAGGCCCUAGGGUUGUAAAACUCUUUCGUGGGGGACGAUAAUGACGGUACCCCAAGAAGAAGCUCCGGCUAACUUCGUGCCAGCAGCCGCGGUAAUACGAAGGGGGCUAGCGUUGUUCGGAUUUACUGGGCGUAAAGCGCGUGUAGGCGGGCUGGAAAGUUGGGGGUGAAAUCCCGAGGCUCAACCUCGGAACUGCCUCCAAAACUUCCAGCCUGGACUCAAGUAGAGGCAAGUGGAAUUGCGAGUGUAGAGGUGAAAUUCGUAGAUAUUCGCAGGAACACCAGUGGCGAAGGCGACUUGCUGGACUUGUACUGACGCUGAGACGCGAAAGCGUGGGGAGCAAACAGGCUUAGAUACCCCGGUAGUC
rnacentral:rRNA from 1 species